rnacentral:rRNA from 1 species
UCGAGCGACUGAUUAGAAGCUUGCUUCUAUGACGUUAGCGGCGGACGGGUGAGUAACACGUGGGCAACCUGCCUGUAAGACUGGGAUAACUUCGGGAAACCGAAGCUAAUACCGGAUAGGAUCUUCUCCUUCAUGGGAGAUGAUUGAAAGAUGGUUUCGGCUAUCACUUACAGAUGGGCCCGCGGUGCAUUAGCUAGUUGGUGAGGUAACGGCUCACCAAGGCAACGAUGCAUAGCCGACCUGAGAGGGUGAUCGGCCAAACUGGGACUGAGACACGGCCCAGACUCCUACGGGAGGCAGCAGUAGGGAAUCUUCCGCAAUGGACGAAAGUCUGACGGAGCAACGCCGCGUGAGUGAUGAAGGCUUUCGGGUCGUAAAACUCUGUUGUUAGGGAAGAACAAGUACAAGAGUAACUGCUUGUACCUUGACGGUACCUAACCAGAAAGCCACGGCUAACUACGUGCCAGCAGCCGCGGUAAUACGUAGGUGGCAAGCGUUAUCCGGAAUUAUUGGGCGUAAAGCGCGCGCAGGCGGUUUCUUAAGUCUGAUGUGAAAGCCCACGGCUCAACCGUGGAGGGUCAUUGGAAACUGGGGAACUUGAGUGCAGAAGAGAAAAGCGGAAUUCCACGUGUAGCGGUGAAAUGCGUAGAGAUGUGGAGGAACACCAGUGGCGAAGGCGGCUUUUU